GUUCUCACUUUAGCAACACAUAUGCCAGAAUUGGAGUAAUACAGAGAUUAGCAUGGUCUCUUGCAUAAGAAUAGCAUGUAAACAGUGUGAAAUACCACAUUAAG
rnacentral:snRNA from 1 species